rnacentral:rRNA from 1 species
AAAUACGACUCUCGGCAGCGGAUAUCUCGGCUCUCGCAUCGAUGAAGGACGUAGCGAAAUGCGAUACUUGGUGUGAAUUGCAGAAUCCAGUGAACCAUCGAGUCUUCGAACGCAAGUUGCGCCCGAGGCCAUUGGGCCAAGGGCAUGCCUGCCUGGGCGUCUCG